rnacentral:rRNA from 1 species
GAUGAACGCUGGCGGCGUGCCUAAUACAUGCAAGUCGAACGCAUAGCGAAAGGUGCUUGCACCUUUCAAGUGAGUGGCGAACGGGUGAGUAACACGUGGACAACCUGCCUCAAGGCUGGGGAUAACAUUUGGAAACAGAUGCUAAUACCGAAUAAAACUUAGUGUCGCAUGACACAAAGUUAAAAGGCGCUUCGGCGUCACCUAGAGAUGGAUCCGCGGUGCAUUAGUUAGUUGGUGGGGUAAAGGCCUACCAAGACAAUGAUGCAUAGCCGAGUUGAGAGACUGAUCGGCCACAUUGGGACUGAGACACGGCCCAAACUCCUACGGGAGGCUGCAGUAGGGAAUCUUCCACAAUGGGCGAAAGCCUGAUGGAGCAACGCCGCGUGUGUGAUGAAGGCUUUCGGGUCGUAAAGCACUGUUGUAUGGGAAGAACAGCUAGAAUAGGAAAGGAGUUUAGUUUGACGGUACCAUACCAGAAAGGGACGGCUAAAUACGU